AAAUAUUUCUAAUUUUUUCAACAUUUGUAACCCAAUUCCUCUUUGGGUACUCUGGAAUCUGUGUAGUUUUGUACAUUAAUAUUGACAAAACGUUGCCCUAGUAUUGAAGUGCCAUAUACGCCAUUUUUACAUUUUUGGGAAAUCGCAUUUAAAUGUUCGGAAGAUAAUUGCGAAAGAACUAACCACUGGUAUUUUUUGAUAUUUUAGUAUGAUAUAUAAUUAAAAUGUGUCUUUUAUAUACAUGCUAUUGGACAUCUGCAAUUCGUUUUGUUUUCAAAAUAUUUAAAUUUUUGUCCAAAAUGAGUUUGCCGUAUACGCCAUGAAAAUCAGAAGUUUCUUUUAUUCAUAUACACGUACGUCAAAGAAAAACAUAACGUACGUCAAAACAAUUCUCAAAAUUUUCUUGCAUUGCAUGAAAAAUUUGCUGUAAAUACUAAAAUUUCUUGUUUUUGUCGAAACAAUAGUGAAUCUCUCGGCAACGAAAAAAGAUAGAAGAAAACGGAUAGCAGAUUUAAAAAGAGCAACUUCGAAAACAUACGACUGCAUACCUAGUUCAAAAAAUGCAAUUUGGCGUAUACGGCACUCCAAUACUAGGGCGACGAAAAAUUGAAAUAUUUCUGUUUUAGGCAGUACCCAAACAGACCUACUAUUCACUCAACGGGCGCCAACUGAAAUGUUACUGGUAUGGUGACCAGUGUGCUUUAAACUUAAAAUUGUUUUUUAAUAAUUAUCUGAAACAUUGGCGGUCAAUGAUUGUAUCGCAUUGUCAUCACCAAAAAAAGUGAGUUCGACCCUGGAAGCCUAGCUCGAAAUUUGACAGUACUAUAUGCCUUUUUCAAACUCCCCAAAAAAUUAAAACACAAUUGUUUCCAUCAAACAGCCCUUCAAGCAAACAGGUCCGACAUCGGCCCGAAUCCGCUCCGCCUCAGGCGGAGCUGAGUCCGGCUUCGACUCAGAAACGGGUCCGAAGGCGGCUCAAAUUAGUAUGGAAAUUAUAAUCACCGCGGAGCCGAUUUUAUAUGCAUUGGUUUUUUCACCACGAUUUCUCCUUCGACUUUGUGUUCAUACACAAAAAGUUGCAAGUGUGUGAGUGCAACCCCGUUUGUCUCGGUCGGUGGUCGGAGUGUCCUUUCUGAACUCCUUUUUCUUGCUUGAAGGGAGCUGACUGAGAAAUGUCAGCUAACUUUGAUGUUAAAAUUUGUACACUACGUCGGAGGGGAAAUUUGAAUUAAUUUUUUAUUUGUAUUCAGCCUAUGAGAACGAGUUGACUACGUAGUCACUAGAUUCGUGAAUGCGCCCAUUCUCUUCUUUCCGGAAGAAGAACUGUCUUCCUACUCCAAUAAAAAAACUUUCAGAAGCACUUCGGACGACCAAUCGAAAACGACCUUAUCCUUCAAGCAAGAAAACGGAGUUCUGUUUGAUUUCUCCAUUUGGACACGCCGUUUUACUCACAUAUUUACAUUUUUUUUUGUAUGAAUACAUCGAGAAAUCGUGGUGAAAAGUGCGAAAAGGAGAAUAAAUAACGGAGGAAAGAAAAAGGCAACAAAAUGACAUAGCGCCAUUUUGUUAAUCGUUCCAUUGUCUCUCGUGCUGUGGCUCGUCAUAUAAUAAUUUUAAUUUUUAUAAUAAUAUUAGAAUCUUGUUAAGUGUUAACAAAUUGGAAUAUUUUCACCAAAAAUAAAGGUAAUCUUCUUCUCCGUCAUUAAACCACCUAAAACAUUCAACAGCUACAAUUAUUCAAUAAUUUGUCGAAUCACGUGAAAGAUCAAACACCACGCCAGCCGCUGGCGCUGGCCGGUAUCAACAGAAAAUUAUUAGGGCUGUUCACGAUUCGAUGCAAAUGGUCUUGUAUCGUUGCAAAAGUGCAAAAUUGUAACAUUAGCCGUUUUUUAUUAUCACUUGAUCCAUAUAAAUUCUCGUAUCUAAAUAAAUACAAGCAAAACUUCAUUUAAUAUUUUUUUAAAAUAAAAACUUUAAUGAACAAAA